GCCUUCGUGGUGUAACGGUAGCACACUCGGCGCGUAUUCGAGAGGGUCUAGGUUCGAGUCCCGGUGAGGACA
rnacentral:tRNA from 1 species